rnacentral:lncRNA from 1 species
GUGAGCUGCACCGACCUGAUCCCCAUCCCGCAGAUCUCCGAUGAGCCCUCGCCGUUCCCUGGCAUGCUCAUCAUGGACCAAGACAGGCCAUUGGUUCUCGACCUGGCAAUGACGGCAGCAGAUCACCUGGUCAGGAUGUGCAACACGAACGAGCCGCUGUGGAUCCGAAGAGGUGGUAGCACCGUGGAGGUCUUGAACUUGGAAGAGCAUGCGAGGAUGUGUCCAUGGCCGAUGGAUCUGAAACAGCAACAGGGGCGGUUUAGGACGGAGACUUCCAGGGACAGUGCCAUGGUCAUAAUGAACGGCAUCACAAUGGUGGAUGCCUUCCUGGAUGCAGUGAGUCAAUCUUUUCCUAGAUCCAUGAAUCGUCUCUGUAGCAUCAUGAGCUCUUACCCUCUCGGUUACUUUGUCCAGAACAAAUGGAUGGAGCUGUUUCCUUCCCUUGUCGCAAAGUCCAGAACGGUGCAGGUUUUGAGUCCCGGAGUUCCCGGCCACGGCAAUGGCUGCUUGCAUCUGGUAAUUUGUCGGAUCACCU